AGUGGGGAAUAUUGCACAAUGGGCGCAAGCCUGAUGCAGCAACGCCGCGUGAGGGACGACGGCCUUCAGGUUGUAAACCUCUUUUAGCAGNGAAGAAGCGAAAGUGACGGUACCUGCAGAAAAAGCACCGGCUAACUACGUGCCAGCAGCCGCGGUAAUACGUAGGGUGCAAGCGUUAUCCGGAAUUAUUGGGCGUAAAGAGCUCGUAGGCGGUUUGUCGCGUCUGCUGUGAAACCCCGAGGCUCAACCUCGGGCCUGCAGUGGGUACGGGCAGGCUAGGGUGCGGUAGGGGAGAUUGGAAUUCCUGGUGUAGCGGUGGAAUGCGCAGAUAUCAGGAGGAACACCGAUGGCGAAGGCAGAUCUCUGGGCCGUAACUGACGCUGAGGAGCGAAAGGGUGGGGAGCAAACAGGCUUAGAUACCCUGGUAGUCCACCCCGUAAACGUUGGGAACUAGUUGUGGGGUCCAUUCCACGGAUUCCGUGAUGCAGCUAACGCAUUAGGUUCCCCGCCUGGGGAGUACGGCCGCAAGGCUA
rnacentral:rRNA from 1 species